AGGGCUAUACAGAGAAACCCUGUCUCGAAAAAAAACAAAAAACAAAAAACAAAACAAAACAGAGCCUCACUGUGUAGUCUUGAUUGGCCUUGAACCCAGCCAUCUUCUACCAGUUAUUAAAGUUAAAGAAUAAUGAGAAUGAUCUAUAGACAGUAGUAUAUCAAGUGCUGCCUGUGGAUCUAAAUGGUAUUGAUAUGUGCAAUUUAUAUAACAUUUCGUGGGCAUUAUUAUUUUAAAUUUAAGAGUGUUCAGACAAACUUCAAACUUGCCACGUAGCCUUAAACUUUGACUUUUGUGCCUCUACUCUUCAGUGCUGGAAUUUCCAGGCUAUGUGCUUUUAUUUUUGUGUGUGUGUGUGUGUGUGUGUGUGUGUGUGUGUGUGUGUGUGUAUCUGCAUUGAUAAAGCAUGACAUGGCACUUUAGUGGAAGUCAGGAGACAGUGGGGGAAGGGUCUGUUCUUAGGUUAUCAGGUUUGCCCUGUAAGCAUUUUUUUCUCACUGAACCAUCUAGCUGGCCUCUCCCUUUAUUGGAGACCCAAGUCUCUGUAGUCAGUGACCAUACACUUAACUUUUAGUGUCUCGUUUGGCACUUAACAUUAAAUAUAGCAAUAUUUUCAGAUGGUGAGAAUAAUAUAAAGGCAUUACUUUAUUUGGAGAUAGUACUUCAUUUUUCCUGUCUCGAUGGGAAGGAGACAUUGACUACUUGUUCAGUGGGUCUAUGUAAAGAAUUGGGACUGGGGCAGAUGAGCUGGAGAGAAUUGACAGAAGGUUGCAGCACUUUGGAAUGAAUCCAUAGGUUCCUGCUACCCAUUGCAGUGUGAAAGGUCCAUCUGGGCCUCCCCUAAGUUAAAUAAAAUGAAAUAUACAUAGAAUAUGAAAGCUUGUUUCACUAAUCUGCUUAAAUCAAAAAGACUUGGAAAUGUCAGGCACAGACUAGAUGGAAGAACCGAAGGCUUGCUGAUGACUUGCAACAUCUCAGUAUGUAAUUUCUCCUGUUUUCCACUAAACUCUACACCCUGCCUGGUACUUGAUUCUCUAUUUCAUCUCAUCUCAAAGAGAGCAGUGAAGAGAGUCACUAGGAUCUAGGAGUUCAAGACUAUCAUGAGUAACUAAUGAGACUCCUAUUUCAAAUAUUUGCAGAAAAAUAAAGACAACAUAAGUCCAUUUAUAUAAAGUUUAAAAAUAAGGGACUGCAAGAUUUGAGCUGCCUUUGAAAGUCUUUAUAGAGGAGGCUGCCCUGUCUUUUGCCUCCUAAGUGGUGGGCUUAAAGGUAUGCACCAUCAUGUCUGGCUGGCCCAAAUUGAGGGAUAAUUAUUAAGGGAUAAUUUUCAUAUAAUUAAGUAUACAAAGUUUAAAAUAUAUAACUGAGUAUCAGCAACUGUAUACACAGGUAUAACUGCCAUCACAAACAGUGAUGGACCAUUAAGAUUUCCCCAAAACUCAAAACCUAUACAGUCACAUAAUCCAGGCAGUAGCUGAUCUGAAUUUUCUCUUCUCUUCUCUUCUCUUCUCUUCCUCUUCUCUUCCUCUUCUCUUCCUCUUCUCUUCCUCUUCUCUUCCUCUUCUCUUCCUCUUCUCUUCCUCUUCUCUUCCUCUUCUCUUCCUCUUCUCUUCCUCUUCUCUUCCUCUUCUCUUCCUCUUCUCUUCCUCUUCUCUUCCUCUUCUCUUCCUCUUCUCUUCCUCUUCUCUUCCUCUUCUCUUCCUCUUCUCUUCCUCUUCUCUUCCUCUUCUCUUCCUCUUCUCUUCCUCUUCUCUUCCUCUUCUCUUCCUCUUCUCUUCUCUUUUCUGUUUUUCGAGACAGGGUUUCUCUGUGUGGCCCUGGCUGUCCUGGAACUCACUUUGUAGACCAGUCUGGCCUUGAACUCAGAGAUCUGUCUGCCUCUGCCUCCCGAGUGCUGGAAUUAAAGGCGUGAGCCACCACUACCUGGCCUACUGAUCUGAAUUCUAUCUCAUCAUAGAUGAGGGUUUUCCUGUUCCUGAUCAGGGCAGCCUUACUCUAUGUAUCCUCUCAUUUUUUUCCAGGCCAUCUAUUAUGCACCUUUUUGUUGUUGUUUUGUGACAGUUUCUCCCAUGUAGUCCUGACUGCCCUGAAACUUGCUUUAUAUACUAGGCUGGCCUCAAAAUCAGAGAUCCACCUGCCUCUGCCUCCUGAGUUAUGGUACUCAAGGCAUAAUUUUUUAUCUAGUCCAAUAUAUUUUGUGUGUCUUUAUGCCUCUGCUUGAAUAUACUGAAUUAGAGGAUAGCGAUUGACUUUAGUUAUGUCCACAAAUUCCAGAUCUUUAUGCUUGGUAGCAUCUCCUUCACUGACAGCAAUUGGUUGGAUUUUUGUAUCUUGUUUUUGUUUUGCUAGUUUUGUUUUUUGAUUUGUAGGCUUUAUGUAAUAAUGAAUGGCUCGUUAGCAUUUAUACUGUUUGUUUUCUGAGCCUCCUAGAAUGAUAGUUUGGAAUAUCACAAGUUCUUGGUCAUUAAAUUUUCAAUGUGUUUAUGUUUUAAUAUUUAUCUCCACACACACAUACACAUACACACACACACACACACACACACACACACACACACACACACACACACAGAGUUUUUCUGUGUAGCGCUGACUGUCCUGGAACACGGUCUGUAGAUAAGGUCUGACCGGAUUGUUUACUUAUCAGUCUGUUCCCAAACUAAUGAGUUUGUCAGAGACAUUCUUUAGCUUUGUUACUUUGUUUUAGCUUUUCCUUAGAAUUCUUAGGGUUCUUAUUUCCCAAUAUUUCUGCUGUAUCUGUGUCUGAUUCCAAGGCUGGUAGGACUGAUAGACUGCUUUAGAAAUUUCCAUUUUCCGAUCACCUUCAGAAUCUUUUUUAGCAGCUCAGGACAUCAUGGAACUUCAGAUCCUCCUGGCUUCGCUUCUUUAGUGUUGAGAUUAUAGGUGUGUACCACCAUGCCAUGCUUAAUUUCUUUAGGUAGCUGAACAUAGGUAUAUUGAUUGAGUAAAAGGAACUCACUCUCUGAACCUCACUCUGAGGAAUCUGUAGAGUUGUUGUUUUUUAGUUUUCAGCUUUUAACUUGUUUGGUCAGAUUCAUAACUUCCAAGUUCCUUAUAUGCUGAACUGGCAAACUGUUUACUCCUUAAAACUUCACUAUGCAUUUCUUUUCCAUUUUCUUGUUCUAUUUCUUACCCUUUGUUUCCAGUGGCUCACUGGUUUUGAGAUUCUGUGCCAGUAAACUCACCUUAAAGGUGCUUGAGUACUAUAAUAUUCUACCUGGAUAUUCUUUUUUUUUUUUUUUAAAGAUUUAUUUAUUAUAUGUAAGUAUACUGUAGUUGUUUUCAGACACCCCAGAAGAAAGAGGGCAUCAGAUCUCAUUACAGAUGGUUGGGAGCCACCAUGUGGUUUCUGGGAUUUGAACUCAGGACCUUCGGAAGAGCAGUCAGUGCUCUUAACCACUGAGCCAUCUCUCCAGCCCUCUACCUGGAUAUUCUUUAGGGAUAUAGAUGAAUUGUAAGUGACAAAUGUGACUUUGCAGUAAUAGAGUGGUGUUCUGUAUGAAUUCAGAUCUUGGAAGUGACUAGUUGUCCUUUGCCAGUUUUGUUUUUAUGACAGACCAGAACAAGUAUUUAGCUUUGAUUAGCUGUAGAUAAUAAUCUUAAGGAUUAGCUGGGCCUUUGUGGUCGUGCCUUUAAUUCUAAAAGAUGAAGGAUGAUCUCUGAAUUUGAGGCCAGCCUUGUCUAAGAGUGAGGUUUAGGACAGCCAAAAAACUACACAAGAGAAACAAUGGCCUCAAAAACAAAAAAACCAAAACAAAACAAAAAUGAAUAAACAAAUAGGAAUAUAUAUUGAUGGGUUACUAAACUAGGCGUUUUGCCUAGUGAGGAGUUAAAGUUAACAUGCUCUUUACAUUCCAAAAUGACAUAAUCUAUUGGCCAAAAUUCUGGUUCCUCUUAUGGCAGUCUGUCAGUGGCUUACUGCUGGAUUAUAGGCAUAUGAGGUAGGAUGCCUAGCUUCCACUGCUUUGUUAUUUUGGACUGGGAUUCACGCACCCAGGCUGGCCUUAAGUCAUUAGCAGGAGCUGGAGAGAGAGCGCUCAGUGGUUAAGAGUACUUAUUAAAUCCACUGUAACUGACUUCCAAGGGACCUAGUGCUUUCUUUUGACUUCUGUAGGCACUGCGCACAUGCAGUACAUAGUCACAUAUGCAGAACACGCAAGCAUAUAGUUUAUGGUUUUUUUAAUGUCAUUAAGCCGAAGAUGACCUUUAACUUUUGGUCUUUCUGUCUCUACUUCCAAAAUGUUAGGAUUUGUUGAAUGGACCACUGGGCCUAAUCUAUGCAUGCUAGGCAAGCACUCCACCAAUUCUGCUACAUCCCCAGUCCCGAUCUUGUGUUAUUGAAAUUCUUCGUUACAAAAUGUUUUCUUUUUGAUAAAAUUCCAACAGAAUGUAUUCUUUUUUUUUUUUUUUUUGCAUUAGGUUUCAUAGAGUGGAAAUGUAGGAUCUUUCAGUCUUUAAAGACUAGAAUUGUGGAUAUUUUCUUUUGAAAAGGAACUUAAUCUCUACUCAUGAGCAUGGUUGGAACACUAUGUUGGUGUCCUGGAGCUCUACCUAGUACCCUCUACACUGUGCUAGUCUGGCUCCAUUCCUUCUUGGGCUCUAUAAACUUUAACAUUUAGAGAUUCUUGACUUCAUGUGCUGAUGGAAAGGAGUUGAACAUAGCAUUGUGGGCUCAGACAGUGCAGGCCUGUGUAGCAUACUGACACUUAGAGCAGGGUGUGAGAGGUCAGAAGCAUCAGGUUGUAGCCCAGGCCUUUUUUUGUUUGUUUGUUUGUUUGUUUUGUUUUUUUAAAACAAAAUGUUAAUCUUCAUCCACAUGCAUUCUGCCUUAUAAAUCUUCUUUUUUCUUUUUGUUCUUUUGAGACAGAGGCAAGUCUUAAGCUCACAGAGAUCAGGUUGUCCCUGCCUCGUAGUAUGUUGGAAUUUCAAGACUAUCACUCUACUGGGCUGGCUACAUAGUCCUUAAAGUUAGCUGAAUAGCUAUCACACAUUGACCAAUAAACAAAAAUGAAUGUAUGCCAGACACAGUAUAUACACAACACACACACACACACACACACACACACACACACACACACACACACACACAGCUAAAAAUAAAAUAAAUCCUGGAAAUAAUAAAACACCACCAGAUGUGGUGGUGCACGCCUUUAAUCCUAGCACUUAGAAGGCAGAGGCAGGCGGGUUUCUGGGUUUGAGGCCAGCCUGGUCUACAGAUUGAGUUCCAAGACAGCCAGGGCUACACAGAGAAACCCUGUAUUGAAAAACCCCCAAAAACCAAAAAACCAAAAAACCCCAUCACAUACCAAAAUUAACCAGACCCCAAGAGACAGUAUACGUCAGCUGCUCUGGAGUUAGAAUAGCUGUUCCGAAGCUUCUUGUUGGGAUUUAUGCUUUCACAUUUAAUAAUAUGUUUUUUGUGCAUUUAUCUACCACCAAAGUUAAAUUAAAAAGUUAACAGAUUUCAACUAGACAACCAAUUACCUUUCUAUUCUCUUUAUAACUCAUGUCUAUUUCAUGGAUUCAGUCCUUCCUCGGUGCCAACCUUUCCACCUUUCCUCCCCACACUGGUUUUCAUGGUGUAGCCCUGGCUCUCUUAGAACCAGGUUAGCCUUGAGAACUCAUAGAUGCUGGCAUUAAAGGCAUGUACCACACACCCAGCCAGAGGGUUUUGUUUGUUUAUUUUAAUAAUACAGUUGAUUUUUAAAAAGCCACAAAAUUAAGCGUAAGUAUACUAAUCUAAGUAUAGCUAUCCUGUGACAAUAACGCAGGUACGGUUUUUUUGUUUUUGUUUGUUUGUUUGUUUUUAAAUAUCAAGCUUGUUUUCUGGAGAAGGGCUUGAGGUGUAGGUAUUCACUAGGUUGGUAUAUGUGUGCAGAUGUUAUGGCACACAACACCAAUACUCUGAGGCUCCAGAGACCUGCCUGAGCUACCUAGUGAGUUCCAAGUCAGCUUUGAGACCUUUCUAGAAAGGGAUAGAGAGGUGUCACAUUUGGAGUCAUUACGAGGAGGAAAAAGAAGGGCUUUGGGGGUGUUGGAGCUGGGGGAGACAACCAUCAUUUAUAGGGGUAACAGUAUGCGUGUGUGAGUCUGUUGUCUUUCAUGGUCUUUUUUAGUCACCCUGCUAUCUGUAUCUGAAAAUACAAAUGCAGUAAUUGUUCAUUAGGUCAGGGUUGGACUGAAUGUGUGUAAGGUAGUAAAGGGAUGUCCAGUGUAAUAGAGAGAAUGACUGAUGGAUUGAUGUUUGGAUAAAUAAAGAGAAAUGAAAGUAAUUGGCACAAAUAUGCACAGGAAAUGCAUGGUACAAUUCAUAGAUGAGGGAAAUGUUGGAUUGGGAGGAAAAAAUGUUAGAAAAAUGAAAUACUAGUGUAGGCGGGGAUAGGUAGUUUGGGCACAUACGACAUGAGUGCAGAUAAAGCACAGAAGUGAGAAUUUGAACAUAGGACAUGGUAAAAUCAUGUAGGGGAGAAUAUCUGGGCUAAGGGAGCAGCACAGGACACUGUUAUAGUAGUGGGGUUUCUGCAGUUUGAAGAUUUGAUGAUGAUAAAAAACUAUACAAGUUCGGAACAUGGGGGUGUAAUCUUAGUACUCUGGAGGUUGACAUGGGAUCUCUGCAAGUUCCAGGCCUAUUCUGACUACAUUUUAAAGACUCAAUUUUUGAAAUAAAAAGGAAAAUGUUUAUAUGGUGCUGGAUGAGACAUAGCAAAGAAUCUCAAAUAAUUUUGGUUGAUGGUGAGAGGAGGGAGACCCCAGCUAUAGGACGACAGUUGGCAGUUUGGUGACGAAUGGAGGAGGUAGAGUGGAGCGAGAUCACUGUGUAUUCAUGAGUGCUUAUGGAGAGGCAAUAAGAAGCAGUAUUUGGCCCAGCUGGAAAAAAUCAGCCAGUACUUCUGUGGUCUUUGGAAAGUGAUUCUCCCUCUCUGCCUCCCCCUCCCCCUCCCCCUCCUCCUUCAUUUUUAACGUUUUAUUUACUUUAUGCAUAUGAGUUACACCAUCGCUGCCCUCAGACAGAGCUGAAAAGAACAUCAGAUCCUAUUACAAAUGGUUGUGAGCCACCAUGGGGUUGCUGGGAAUUGAACUCAAGACCUUCAAAAGAACAAUCAGUGUUCUUAACUUCUGAGCCAUCUCUCCAGGCCAUGACUUUUUUUCUUAAGGAGAUUGUUUUGCUAUGUCAAGAGAUGUAAAAUUGCUGUGCAUAGCAGCCGCAUUAAUAUUCGCACCAGGAGUGAUGGGAAUUUACAUUUCAUGUAUGAGAUAUUCAAUAGUAUGUAUGUAUGUAUGUACACACACAUACAUACACAAUUUGCACUAAAGCAUUGAUGGUAAUUUUUGUUUUUAUUAGGUUUAUAAUUGUCAUACUGAAACUUGGCCCACAUAAUUUUGUGCCCAAAAUACUGUAGAAUAGAAUACUAUUGUUCUUGCCAAUAUCUUUAUCUUACAUGUAGUUUCCAUAGGUUGGAUCUGUUAAACUGACUAGUUUUCUUCAGUGUAGUCCUAUAGGAGAAGAUGUACAUUCACCAUAUGCUCACAUUGCUUUUCUCGUUUUUGUGUUAUUUUGGAUUAAACCUAGGGCUUUCUGUAUUUGAGGGAAGUGCUGUACUAUUGACCUACAUUCUUGCUGUAUGCAUCCUGACAUUCUUUAGCAAAAGAAAAAAGAAAAAGAAAAACUGGGAUUGAAGAUUCCUGAGAAACAGCACAUAAUCAUUUAAAAAAGUGGCCCUACCUUUCUGCACCUAAUACCCCCAAUUCAGCUCCCCCCAUUAUGCUCCCACAUGUCCUUUGGAGUUCUUCCAUCUGGCAUGCUUUGUUUUCUUCCUAAUUCUUCACGCUGGUCUAUCAGUCAAUUUAUCUUCCAUCAGCCCCUGUAGUUCAUCACACUCAAUUAUCUCUGAUCCUCUCCCAUCUCCACCCACUGCACAUACAUAUCCAGUGCUCCAUUGCUCAGGCUGUGAUCGAUUGCCUUUCCUCUCCUGCCAUCUUUCUCCUUGAACUAGGCUUUCCAUUCAGAUACUAAUGGUGGAGAAGUGUUCCAGUCCAAGCCUGAAUUACACUUCGUGCAUCCUGACUUGUUUCUCAACUGUGAAUUAUCCGUGAAAGCAGCAGGUGGGGAGGAAAAGAGAAAUUUAAAAACACCUUACUAGGCUCUCAAGUGACUUUGGAAUAACUACUGCUAUGUUAAAUAGAUAUAGUCCACUGCUGCCUGCAGUUUUUAUGUUUUGACAUAUUUAGCAUAGUUGUAUUAUUACACUCUGAAAAACAGACUAACUGCUUUAUUUGGUUAAGCAUAAAUUAAUCUGUAAGUUGUAGAGUUCAUUACCUGUGUUGUAAGUGGUUACAACUUAAAACUCGGGUGAGCAUGAUAGAAUUGCUGAUCUUAAAAAUUGAUUGUCACUGUGUUUGUCUAUUUUGCUAGCUUGACAAGUGCAUCAUCUGUUUUUGCUGAAACAAAGAACGUAAAAUCUGAGUGUCUAUCUAAUUAGGGAGUACCUUACUUUAUUCAUCUUUUAUAACUCUGAUGAGUGCCCUAUCAUUUCUUUCAUAGAACUCAAAACUGGAGGUGAAAAUUGAACUCUUCUGGUCUUGGGUAUUUGGUUUUAAGCUAUUUCAGAUGAAGACCAGGACAUUUAUACUUAAAGGCUAUUGAAAGAAUUACAGAAGGUGCACUUUUAACAAGUGUGUGCAUGCAUGCGUGAGUGCAUGCAUGCGUGAGUGUACUAUAUAUAUAUAUAUGUGUGUGUGUGUGUGUAUAUAUAUAUAUAUAUAUCUCCAAGCCAUAACAUUUGUGUGGAGGUCAAAGGACAGUUUUCAAGAGUCAUUCAAGAGGAAUUUCUCCUUGUUGAAAACAAGGUAUAUUGUUUCUACUAUGAAUCUACUCAAGGCUAGCUUGUCCUCUUGCCAGCCCCUAGGUGAUUUUUCCUCUCUGCCUCCUUUCUUGCUGUAGGAGUGUUAGGAUUCAGAUACACGUCACCAUAUCCACCUUUUAAAAUUUUUAUGUGUAUGAGCAUCAUGUGUGUGACUGGUGCCCAUUGGGUUCAAAAGGCAUAGGAUUUUCUGGGACUGGAGUUAUAGAUGGUAUAAGCUGCCAUGUGUGCUGUGGUGUUGUGAAUCGAACCCAGGUCCUCUAAAAGAGAAGUGCUCUUAUCCUCUGAACCAUCUCUCCAGUCCCUGGAAAAGAGUCUAGCAUUUUAUGUGGGUCCAGGGAAUGGAACCCCUGUGUGGUAAAUGAUUUUACCCACAGAACCAGUCACCUUACUAGCCUAGUCAAGGUUCCCUAGAGAAACAAAACUGAGUAUAUAUUAAAAGAGAGGAUUUAUUGGAUUGGUUUACGUGAUAUGGUCUAUAUAGUUCUACAACUGCUGUCUUCAUACUGAAGAGUGAAACAUAAGGCUGAACACCUCAGCAGUCUCAAUUCUGACAUUUUCCUUGGAGAGUUACUUACUGGUCUUCUGUCCACAUUAGAAACUAGGCUCUGAAGCUGGAUGCUGGUGGCACAUGCCUUUAAUCCCAGUACUUCGAUGGCAGAGGCAUAGACAGACGGAUCUCUGAGUUCAGAGGUCAGCCCAGUCGAGUUCAAGUACAGCCAGAACUGUUAAGAAAAACCCUGUCUCAAGGAAAGAAAGCAAAGCAAACAAGCAAGCAGCAGCCGGGUUCUAAUGUCUGAAAAAUGGUGAUUUCAGCUGCAGCAGCGUAGACCUUGCCUGAGAGACAAGAAGGUAAGCAGGCAAAACAAAAACCUUUCCUUUCAACCUCAGUGUGUCUGGGUUGCUAUUGGAAGAUAGUACCCACACUUAGGUAGUCUUCCCACUUUAAUUCAUAAUCAAGAAUAUCUUUCACACAUGGGCCCAAGGGUUGUCUCUUACUUGAUACAGUUACACUGACAACUAAGAUUAAACAUCAAUGUGAAGCAUCAGCUAUAGUGUCUGAGAAAGAAGUUUGUACAAACUUAUGUCCCAUUCUAAGUAAGUCCAGCACACCCUUCCAGACCUGUCUUUUACUUGAACCUCUGUUUCUAGAGAUGUAGUACAAACUAUCUGGGCUCUCAGCAUAAAACCGUUUGUAUGGAGACCAUGCAAAUCUUUGCUGCCUAUACAUUGCUUCUGUAUAGUACUAUUUGAAUUCAAGAAUAAUACUUGAAUAGAAAAGAGGAAAAAAAAAAUAAGGAUAGGGUCUCAUGUUAGCUUGGAACUCAUUGAGUAGACCAGAUUGGCAUAGAACUCAGACCCACUUUCCUCUGCCUCUCUAGUACAAGGAUUAAAGGGGCCCCACCAAGAGGGCUAAAUACAAUAUUUUUUUAAAUGGUUGUUUAUUUUUAUUGUGUGUGUGUUUGUCUUCAUGUAUGUGUGUGCACCAUAUGGUGCCUGUGGAGGUCAGAAGAGGGUGAUGGAUUCCCUGGAACUGGAGUUUCAAAUGCUUGUGAGCCACCAUUGUAUAGGUUUUAGAAAUGGAACCCUGGUUCUCCACAGGAACAUUUUUAACCAUGGAGUCAUCUUUCCCAGCCCUUAAGAACAAUAAGUAAUGUUUAUGGCACUUAGAACAGUGAUCACAUAUUUCUGGCAUCUUUAUUAGAUUUUAAUAGUUUGUCUUUUGGGACACUUUAUUGAGAUACCAAACUUAAUUUCACCUUUUUUUAAAAGAAUUAUUUAUUUUAUAUAUAUAUGAGUACACUGUAGCUGUACAGAUGGUUGUGAGCGUUCAUGUGGUUGCUGGGAAUUGAGCUUGGAACCUCUGCUUGCUCUGGCCCCAAGAUUUAUUUGUUAUAUGUAAGUACACUGUAGCUGUCUUCAGACACACCAGAAGAGGGCAUCAGAUCACAAUGUAGAUGGUUGUGAGCCACCAUGUGGUUGCUGGGAUUUGAACUCAGGACCUUCGGAAGAUCAGUCAGUGCUCUUAACUGCUGAGCCAUCUCACCAGCCCAAUUUGACCUUUUCAAAGUGGACAUUUUUGUUGGUUUUAGUAUACUCUUUUUAAGUCUGUAACCAUCACCUCAGUCAAUUUUAAAGCUUUUUGUCAACUGUAAGUAAACUCCAAAGUCCUUUAGCAGUCAGUCUCUACUCCACUCCCUACAUGCUAGCUUCUGGAAUCCACUCAUCUUUUAAAUUUGCUGAUUGAACCUUUCCCAUGAGCAGAAUCACUCAAAUGUGCACACUUGUGACUGAUGUCUAUUUUUUAUCAGGAUGUUUUGAAUGCCCAUUCAUGUUUCAGCAGGUGAACUAGUUUGCUUUCUGUUGCUGUAAUUGAACACCAUGUCUAAAAGCAAUUUGAGGAUGAAAGGGUUUAUUUGACUUAAAUUUCCACAGGAUGUUUUAUUACUAAGGGAAGUUAGGACAGGGACUCAUGAAAGAACUUGGAGGCAGGAACUGAGGCAGGGACCAAAGCUCAGCCUGCUUUCUGACAUAACCCAGGGCCACCUGCCCACAGGUAGCAACACUAUCGGGUAUGCCCUCACUUCAAUCAUUAAAGAAAUGCCCACCAGCUUGCUAGCCUCUGUGAAUUGUUGGUUAGAGUCAGUCUGCGUGAGAUUUGUGAUGUGAUCCCUUUUCUCUCAUGACUCCAUGUUGGAACCCAUUAGAACUGUGUCCUGAUGAGGAGGUGAGUUGAGUUGGGUACUUAGCAAGGGUGAGUCUUUCCAGAACAGCCAUUUUUAUGUAAUCUUGUUGUAUGUUGGAGGAGCAUCUUUUGGGUUUAUGUCCAGGAGUGGUAUACCUGGGACUUCAGGUAGUACUAUGUCCAGUUUUCUGUGGAACCGAAUUUCCGGAUUUCCAGAGUGGUUGUACCAGCUUGCAAUCCCACCAGCAGUGGAGGAGUAUUUCUCUGUGUCCACAUCCUCGCCAGCAUCUGCUGUCACUUGAGUUUUUGCUCUUAGCCAUUCUGACUGGUGUGAUUUGGGAUCUCAGGGUCGUUUUGAUUUGCAUUUCCCUGAUGAUUAAGGAUGUUGAACAUUUCUUUUGGUGCUUCUCAGACAUUCAAGUUGAGAAUUCUCUGUUCUAAAAAUAGGGUUAUUUGGUUCUCUGGAGUCUUAACUUCAUGAGUUCUUUGUAUAUAUUGGAUAUUAGUCCUGUAUCAGAUGUAGAAUUGGUAAAGAUCUUUUCCCAAUUUGUAGGUUGUUGACAGUGUCCUUUGCCUUAUAUUCAACUAUAUUUUAUUUAUAUUUUGAAAGAUUUAUUUAUUAUAUGUAAGUAUACUGUAGCUGUCUUCAGACACUUUUUCUUCUCACUCUAGCCCCGCUGUCUACGGGCCAAAGAUUUAUUUAGUUAUUGUAUGUUAAGUACACUGUAGCUGUCUUCAGACACACCAGAAGAGGGGAUCAGAUCUUAUUAGGGAUGGUUGUGAGCCACCAUAUAUAUAUAUAUAGUUGCUGGGAUUUGAACUCAGGACCUUCGUAAGAGCAGUCUUAACCAUUGAGCCAUCUCUCUAGCCCACUUUUCAAUUUUAUGAGAUCCCAUUUGUCUGUCGUUGACCUUAGAGCCUGAGCCAUUGGUGUUCUAUUCAGGAAAUUUCCCCCUGUGCUGAUCUGUUCCAGGUUCUUUCCCACUUUCUCUUCUAUGACAUUCAGUGUAUCUGGUUUUAUGUGGAGGUCCUUGUGCCACUUGGACUUGAGCUUUGUACAAGGAGAUAAGAAUGGAUCAAUUUGCUUUCUUCUACAUGCUGACCACCACUUGAGCCAGCACCAUAUGUUCUGGUUUCACUCUAGCCCAGGCUGUCCUGGAAAUCUUAGCAGUCUGUGAGUGCAUGGGUAAGCCACCAUGCCUGGCGUAUUUUAGUAUAGUCAAAAGUUAAUUUGGCCUUCCUUCAAAGCCCCCCCCCCUUCUUUUUUUUUUGCACAACAGUACAGUAUAUAAUACUUUCAUUACCAUAGCAUUAUCUAACCCAGCAAGUUAAAGUUUUGAAGUGGCUCUUCAUGCUACUUUUUUUCUCCUUCCUUUGACAUAUUUUAAUGAACUGGUUUAUUUUUGGUCUUUGAUCAGUUACUAAAACUACAACAUUGUCUUUUACUAUUUUUUUUUAAACUUAAUUACAAACUCUUUGGGUAACAUCCCCAAGUUCUGAUUACCUGUUUCUCAUUAGAGAUGUUCAUUGAAUGUUGACUGAAUAUGUCAGCAGUACCUUUGAAACCCAUGCCAGUCUUUGGUCAGAAAGAGAUUGUGUUCAUCUUAAAGGAAGAGAAAGAGGAGAGUUAAGGGCCUCAAAUAGGAACUCCUAAAUUUUACAAAAUGGUCCUUUCUUUCUUUCUUUCUUUCUUUCUUUCUUUCUUUCUUUCUUUCUUUCUUUCUUUCUUCGUUCGUUAGUUCGUUCGUUUAUUCACUCACUCAUUCAUUGUGGGCUCUUGCUCUGUCAUUCUCUUAAGUUGAAUAAACUGGGUCCUGGUGCUUCUCUGGCUCUAAGUAAGGUCAGAAUCAACCUCUUUAUGUAUGAAGUAGAGAAGGAAUUUUUAUUUGAGCAGUGCUUUCUUCAGCAUGGAGUUAAGGCAGGAGGAUGGGAAGGUAAACAGUUUGUUCCUUAAAAAUCACCUAGGAAGAGUCAGAUGGCUAGGUCUGUGGCUACACACUUAACACCGGGCUUCAGUUCUUAGACUGGAGUUUUGUAAUGUUUUCGGUUCAGAUGUUGUGUGACAAGUGAUGAUCUCUUUGCCAUUGUGCACCACCCCCUCCUAAAUUAGAUACAUUCCCCCUCUGCUUCCAGACGUCUCCAUCUCUUGGUCUCUUGACAGAGCAAUCAUUUAUCAAGUUGUUUCAUUAGUUGUCCAGAGGGGGCCCUGGGAACUUGAGUUUGUUUCGUCCCUUUGUUGGAGCUCCACAGGAUCUUCCAGCUCAGUCUCCAGCCAACUGCUGAGAGUUGCUGGACUCCAGGAACAAAUGUUAAAGGGGCUGCCUUUCAUCUUGCUGCUGCUUCAACCUUUAUCUUAAAUUGCAACUUAUUGGGUUUCUAAUCACCCAGUAUUGACAUAUAUACUGUUCAAAAUGAGAAUUUUGUUUUCCUUUGCAAGUUUAUCUUUUUAUAGCUUAUCAUUGAUCUUGCCUUAUAUACCCAGACACCCUACCUCCUGGGGAUGCCUGAAUGUGCUUGUGUGUGUGGUUGCUUGUUCUUUUUCUAUCUUUCCCAUUUCUUGCCCUAUAUCAUCUCUUACUGGCAGGAAAUUGUCGUCUAUAUAAAAGUAGGCAUUCUGCUUUUUAUAAGCCUUUUUGGGGGAGUAUCUUUUAAUUUAAUAAGGUGUCCCCUUUCUUGAUGUCAUAUUGUACAGAAGUAAAAUUUCCUAAAAUAGUAUAAGGAUUUAAAAAAGAUUUUGAUUUUUUUAAAAAAUUUUAUUAAGCCUUAAAGAACAAGAUAAAUAUUACUGCUUUUUAUAUUAAAGUACAUAAGUUUUUAAGUGUCUGAAAAGCAGACUUUUAUAUCUAAUGACAUUAUAUGAAGAAUGUUAACCAGCAUUCUUAGACUAUGUAUGAAUUUGAAACACAAAUGUUGUUUAUUGUAAUUUAAUAAUUUUUUUUCUGUCUCAUGCAUUCUUUUGUUAUUCUCUCUUUUUCUUUCUCUCUCUCUUUCUCUCAUCUUUAUUUUGGGAGACUGUUUCUCUGUGUAGCCCUGAGUAUCCUGACUAUACUCAUUCUGUAGACCAGGCUGGUUUCAAAUUCUGAGAACUACCUUGCCCUCCUGAGUGCUGGGAUUAAAGGUUUGAGCUACCACUUUCUAGCAUAAUUUAAUAGUUUAGGACAAAAUUUUUGUUAGAGGUUAAUAGAAAUAAAACUAUAAUGUUAAUGGGAUUUUUUCUGUGAUCCUUGCAUAUUCCUGCAAUAAUUCAUAAUAAAACCUUUAAAUGAGGUAAUCCAGAGAGAACUCUAAGUUAAGAAUACAGGCUGCUCUUCAAGGGUGCCUGGAUUUGAAUUCCAGCAUCUUUAUGGAGGCUCACAACCAUCUGUAACUCCAGUUUCAGGGGAACCUGAUGCCCUUUUCUGACCUUCAUGGAGUCCUGCACAGGUGUGUUAACAUUCAUAUACUCAGGUGCAUGUACCCACACACAAUAUUUAUCUAUUUAUUUAUUUAUUUAGGUUUUUUUUUUUUUUUUUAGACAGGGCUUACAUAAUUUUUAAAAAGUUAAAAAAUUUAACAAAAAGGUUGAAAGAUUGGUACACUAAUGAUAGUUUGCUUUUUAAAAAUGUACCUCCUUACAAAUGGAAUAAAAUUUAGUUGAUUCCAGAUUGAAUAUUUUACUGUCCUGAUUCUGAAGUGAGUUUGUUUUAGCUAGAGUACAUCUGAUUCCAGAAUCCUUGGUAUGGAGAAUCAUAAAGUUAAAUAAGAACAGCGUCCUCUGUUCUCAUCAGGUGUUUAGCUUAAAAAUACUUAGACAGGGACUCAGUGAUUAAUAAAUUCAAUUUCCAGCAUCCGUUUAGUGGCUCCAUAAC